rnacentral:rRNA from 1 species
UACAGAGGUCUCAAGCGUUGUUCGGAUUCAUUGGGCGUAAAGGGUGCGUAGGUGGCGCGGUAAGUCGGGUGUGAAAUUUCGGAGCUUAACUCCGAAACUGCAUUCGAUACUGCCGUGCUUGAGGACUGGAGAGGAGACUGGAAUUUACGGUGUAGCAGUGAAAUGCGUAGAGAUCGUAAGGAAGACCAGUGGCGAAGGCGGGUCUCUGGACAGUUCCUGACACUGAGGCACGAAGGCCAGGGGGAGCAAAACGGGG